rnacentral:tRNA from 2 species
GCCCGGCUAGCUCAAUCGGUAGAGCGUGAGACUCUUAAGGAGUUUUUCCGUAAUCUCAAGGUUGUGGGUUCGACCCCCACGUCGGGCU